rnacentral:rRNA from 1 species
AUUGAACGCUGGCGGCAUGCCUUACACAUGCAAGUCGAACGGCAGCACGGGUGCUUGCACCUGGUGGCGAGUGGCGAACGGGUGAGUAAUACAUCGGAACGUACCUUAUCGUGGGGGAUAACGCAGCGAAAGCUGUGCUAAUACCGCAUACGCCCUGAGGGGGAAAGCGGGGGAUCGCAAGACCUCGCGCGAUUAGAGCGGCCGAUGCCUGAUUAGCUUGUUGGUGGGGUAAAAGCCCACCAAGGCGACGAUCAGUAGCUGGUCUGUGAGGACGAUCAGCCACACUGGGACUGAGACACGGCCCAGACUCCUACGGGAGGCAGCAGUGGGGAAUUUUGGACAAUGGGGGCAACCCUGAUCCAGCAAUGCCGCGUGAGUGAAGAGGGCCUUCGGGUUGUAAAGCUCUUUUGUCAGGGAAGAAACACCGGCUCUAACACAGUCCGGGAAUGACGGUACCUGAAGAAUAAGCACCGGCUAACUACGUGCCAGCAGCCGCGGUAA